rnacentral:lncRNA from 10 species
AGCGACUUUGAGAGAGUUUCUGUUAGACUGCUCCAGCCCGUAGUUUGCGUGCGGGUGCUGGUGGGUCUGCCCUGCAGAGAGUUGCGUUAGCAACCAUCCCUCCCUCCAGCGCUCGCCUCCGGGUCCCUAAGGAAAACGUUCCCCUGGUCAGGACGCUGGAGCGCGCAUGGGCCUCGCAGCCAUUGACGACUGGACGCGAGCUGCGGUACAAACCCCGACGCGGAGACGUUGGCGACAGUGGCCGCUGGGGGAGCUGCUGAGUGCCGCCCAGCACUGGGCUCCCUUUCCCUUCACUCUCGGCAGUUUCUUGCCUCCGUGGGUGGUUGGCGCGUCUGCGGAGCCAGAGUCGUUGUGUGGAUCGUGGGACUGCAGCCCCAGCCAAAGGGCUGUCACGUCUGGUCGGUUCCGUCACCCACGGUUCCGGUUUCCAGUCGUUAAGGGUCCAGCAGUCUGUUAAGUAGCUCCCUGUCCCUUCUGGAAGCUUGGCCAGGGAAGGUCAUUCCACCUUUGAGUUCCAGAGACAAGGUCUCACUGUGUCACCCAGGUCGGAGUGCACUGGUACAAUCAUAGCUCAUGGCAACCUCAAACUCCAAGGUUCAAGUGAUCCUCCUGCCUUGGCCUCUGGAAGUGUUGGAAUUACAGCUGUGAGCCAUGGUGUUGGGUAUCAGAAGAACCAGCCCCCAAUAUUUCAGCGUAGGUUCUUUCUAUUUUCCCUAAGUGUUGGCCGGUCUGAGAAAUAAAAAGAAAGAGUACAAAGAUAGGAAUUUUACAGCUGGGCUGGUGGGGGGUGACAUCACAUAUCGGUAGGUCCAUAAUGCCCCACCUGAGCCGCAAAACCAGCAAGUUUUUAUUAAGGAUUUCAAAAGGGGAGGGGGUGUACGAACAGGGAGUAGGUCACAGAGAUCACAUGCUUCUGAGGCCAGUAAAGAUCACAAGGCAAAGGGCAAAGCAAAGAUCACAAGACAAAGGGCAAAAUUAGAAUUACUGAUGAGGGCCUAUGUUCAGCUGUGCAUGUAUUGUCUUGAUAAACAUCUUAACAGAAGACAGGGUUCGAGAGCAGAGAACCGGUCUGACCAAAAUUUACCAGGUUGGAAUUUCCCAAUCCUAGUAAGCCUGAGGGUACUGCAGGAGACCGGGUCAUAUUUCAGUCCUUAUCUCAACAGCAUAAGACAGACACUCCCAGAGUGGCCAUUUGUAAACCUCCUCCAAGGAAUGCAAUUCUUUUCCUAGGGUCUUAAUAUUUAAUAUUCCUUGCUAGGAAAAGAAUUUAGCGAUAUCUCUCCUACUCGCACGUCCAUUUAUAGGCUCUCUGCAAGAAGAAAAAUAUGGCUCUUUUUGCCCGACCCCGCAGGCAGUCAGACCUUAUGGUUAUCUUCCCUUUUUGUUCCAUUUUGUUAGGAUAUGACAUAUGUGACUCCAUUUUGAUACUGAUAACAUUCUUUUUUUUUUUUUUUUAGAUGAAAUCUCGCUCUGUCAUCCAGGCUGGAGUGCAGUCGCACUAUCUCAACUCAUUGUAACCUCUGCACUUGUUCCCUAAAAUCACUGUUAUUCUGUUCUUUUUUAAGGUGCACUGAUUUCAUAUUGUUCAAAUGCACAUUUACAAUCAGAUUUCAUAUUGUUCAAACACACAUGUUUUACAAUCAAUUUGUUAGUUAAUGCAAUCAUCACAGGGUCCUGAGGUGACGUACAUUCUCAGCUUAUGAAGAUAACAGGAUUGAGAUUAAAAUAAAGACAGGCAUAAGAAAUUAUAAGAGUAUUAUUUGGGAACUGAUAAAUGUUCA